rnacentral:rRNA from 1 species
GACGAACGCUGGCGGCGUGCCUAAUACAUGCAAGUAGAACGCUGAAGGAGGAGCUUGCUUCUCUGGAUGAGUUGCGAACGGGUGAGUAACGCGUAGGUAGCCUGCCUGGUAGCGGGGGAUAACUAUUGGAAACGAUAGCUAAUACCGCAUAAUAGUAGAUGUUGCAUGACAUUUGCUUAAAAGGUGCAAUUGCAUCACUACCAGAUGGACCUGCGUUGUAUUAGCUAGUUGGUGGGGUAACGGCUCACCAAGGCGACGAUACAUAGCCGACCUGAGAGGGUGAUCGGCCACACUGGGACUGAGACACGGCCCAGACUCCUACGGGAGGCAGCAGUAGGGAAUCUUCGGCAAUGGACGGAAGUCUGACCGAGCAACGCCGCGUGAGUGAAGAAGGUUUUCGGAUCGUAAAGCUCUGUUGUAAGAGAAGAACGAGUGUGAGAGUGGAAAGUUCACACUGUGACGGUAUCUUACCAGAAAGGGACGGCUAACUACGUG